GAUGAACGCUGGUGGCGUGCCUAACACAUGCAAGUCGAGCGAUUCUCUUCGGAGAAGAGCGGCGGACGGGUGAGUAACGCGUGGGUAACCUGCUCUGUACACACGGAUAACAUACCGAAAGGUAUGCUAAUACGAGAUAACAUGCUUUUAUCGCAUGGUAGAAGUAUCAAAGCUUUUGCGGUACAGGAUGGACCCGCGUCUGAUUAGCUAGUUGGUGAGGUAACGGCUCACCAAGGCGACGAUCAGUAGCCGACCUGAGAGGGUGAUCGGGCACAUUGGAACUGAGACACAGUCCGAACUCCUGCGGGAGGCAGCAGUGGGGAAUAUUGCACAAUGGGCGAAAGCCUGAUGCAGCAACGCCGCGUGAGCGAUGAAGGCCUUCGGGUCGUAAAGCUCUGUCCUCAAGGAAGAUAAUGACGGUACUUGAGGAGGAAGCCCCGGCUAACUACGUG
rnacentral:rRNA from 1 species